CUUUUAUAGAGGCAAGGCAAGGCAAUUUUGUUAAUGUGAUACAUUUCAUACACAAGGCAACUCAAUGUCCUUCACACAAGCAAAGACCUACAAGCAUUUACAAAACAACAUUAACAACAUUCAAAAGCAAAUCAGAGAAAGCAAAAGUGGCUUACAAAAAUUACUGUCAUGAUUUGGUUUAGGGACCAACAGGUGGCACUGUAGGGCUCCCCUGGCAGCUGCACACCUGUUGGUCAGAACUAAUUAGGGCGUUAAAAGGACUCCCAGCCUGAAAACUCAGUGUCGGGUCAUUGUUUGUUCUCGCUACUGUCAUGUGUGUUGCUGUUUGCUCUUGUUUUCUGUCAUGUUUAGUUCAUUGUUAUGUUUUAGAUUUAGUCAUGGUUUUUGUUUGAUACUUUGGACUUUGUGUGUUUUGGAUUUAGUUUUCUUUGUUUUAAAUACAAUUCUUCAAAUACA